GUUGGGGCGGCGGGUGAGUCCUCGUGCAGGAUCGAGGCCCACCCUAGAGCAAGCUGAGUGGGCGGCAGGAUGGGAAUCCUCUGCAGGUGGGCCUGCGGCAGGUCCCUUCCCGCCCCUCCUGGCCACCUCGCUCAGCUCCCACUGGGUCUGGCGGGACAUUGAGAAGCCGGAAGUCGCGGAAGACGAGGGCCAAGAGCUCCAGGGUGCCCCGAGGAGGAGGCGGCGGUGGAGUCCUCACGGGCCGCGUAUCAUACCCACGAUGCGCCUGGAAGGCUGAGGCAGGCGCCGUGCGGUGGAACCCCACAGAUGUCCUGGGGUCCCCACCCUUGUGGGACUCUUCCCUUUACGAAGCCCAUGGAAAAUGCUAGAAACUGGCCCAGUGUCAAGAGCUGCUCAGAGCUGUCUUUCUCACAGGACUUCAGGUGGCAUGGUGGCUAAGGCACUGGAUUCCCGUAAUGG